rnacentral:rRNA from 1 species
AGUGAACGCUGGCGGUAGGCCUAACACAUGCAAGUCGAACGGCAGCACAGUAAGAGCUUGCUCUUACGGGUGGCGAGUGGCGGACGGGUGAGGAAUACAUCGGAAUCUACUUUUUCGUGGGGGAUAACGUAGGGAAACUUACGCUAAUACCGCAUACGACCUACGGGUGAAAGCAGGGGAUCUUCGGACCUUGCGGGAGUGGAUGAGCCGAUGUCGGAUUAGCUAGUUGGCGGGGUAGGGGCCCACCAAGGCGUCGAUCGGUAGCUGGUCUGAGAGGGUGACGGGCCACAUGGGGACGGAGAUAGGGCCCAUACUGGUUGGGGAGGCAGCAGUGGGGAAUAGUGCAGAAGGGGCGGAAGCAUGAUGCAGCAACGCAGCGUGCGGGAUGACGGCCGUCGGGUUGGAAACAGCGUGCGCCUGUGACGAAGCGGGAGUGACGGUAAGGGGGAAAGAAGCACCGGCUAAAUACGGG